GACAGAGGUCCCGAGCGUUAGGCGGAAUCACUGGGCUUAAAGCGUGUGUAGGCGGAUGCCUAAGUACCUUGUGAAAUCCCACGGCUUAACCGUGGAACUGCUUGGUAUACUGGGUGUCUUGAGCCACCUAGGGGCGAGCGGAACAAACGGUGGAGCGGUGAAAUGCGUAGAUAUCGGGAGGAACACCAGUGGCGAAGGCGGUUAGCUGGCCUGUAACUGACACUGAGGCGCGAAGGCUAGGGGAGCGAACAGG
rnacentral:rRNA from 1 species